CCUACGGGAGGCAGCAGUGAGGAAUAUUGGUCAAUGGGAGAGAGCCUGAACCAGCCAAGCCGCGUGAGGGAAGACGGCCCUAUGGGUUGUAAACCUCUUUUGUCGGAGAACAAAACCCGGGACGUGUCCCGGACUGCGUGUAUCCGAAGAAAAAGCAUCGGCUAACUCCGUGCCAGCAGCCGCGGUAAUACGGAGGAUGCGAGCGUUAUCCGGAUUUAUUGGGUUUAAGGGGUGCGUAGGCGGUCCGUUAAGUCAGCGGUAAAAUUGCGGGGCUCAACCCCGUCGAGCCGUUGAAACUGGCAGACUUGAGUUGGCGAGAAGUACGCGGAAUGCGCGGUGUAGCGGUGAAAUGCAUAGAUAUCGCGCAGAACUCCGAUUGCGAAGGCAGCGUACCGGCGCCAGACUGACGCUGAGGCACGAAAGCGUGGGGAUCGAACAGGAUUAGAUACCCGGGUAGUC
rnacentral:rRNA from 1 species